UAUUUGAUUGAAUUUGAUUUUGACAUUGAUUUAUUUUUUAUGCCGUUGAGGUUUGGUUCAAGUGGUAAAGGGUUAUGGUGGGUAUAUGGGAGGUUCUAGUUUCAAGUCCUAAUGGGAAAGAGAAAAAGAAAAAGAAAAAAGAAAAAAAAUAAAUAUAUAUAAAUUAUUUUUAUUUAAUUUAAUUUUUAUUUUAUUAGUUUCUAACUCCAGCGUCUUCACAUGGACUGGAAACUCAAUGGAGAGAACCUUAACAAAAGCUUUGUCUCAUAGGCAUGUUGUCAGAGCAUUUGGACUCUGUAGUUGUAGCAGCAGCAGCAGCUCAUGACUGAAGCUUAGUGGAAAUUUAGUUUACUCUAAUAUAUCCUAGACACAGAUUAGUAAAUGGUUUUCCACACCCGGCCACUUCUCUUCAUUAUUGAAAGGGUGUAAAUCCUAUGAUGAUGUAAAUCUGACACACCCAUUACCUUUAAUUUGUAUAUUUACAUAUUUAUACAUUGUAACUGAUUGGUGAUUCUCUUUU